UACGGGGGGGAGCAAGCGUUGUUCGGAUUUACUGGGCGUAAAGGGCGCGUAGGCGGUCAGCACAAGUCAGUUGUGAAAUCUCCGGGCUUAACUCGGAAAGGUCAACUGAUACUGUGCGACUAGAGUGCGGAAGGGGCAACUGGAAUUCUCGGUGUAGCGGUGAAAUGCGUAGAUAUCGAGAGGAACACCUGCGGCGAAGGCGGCUCUCUGGGACGGUACUGACGCUGAGACGCGAAAGCGUGGGGGAGCGAACAGG
rnacentral:rRNA from 1 species